CCUACGGGAGGCUGCAGUGGGGAAUUUUGGACAAUGGGCGCAAGCCUGAUCCAGCUAUUCCGCGUGUGGGAUGACGGCCCUCGGGUUGUAAACCACUUUUGUAGAGAACGAAAAGUCACCUUUUAAUAAAGGGUGUUGCUGACGGUACUCUAAGAGUACGCCUCGGAUCACUACGUGCCAGCAGCCGCGGUAGUACGUAGGGUGCGAGCGUUAAUCGGAAUUACUGGGCGUAAAGGGUGCGCAGGGGGGUGGGUAAGACAGAUGUGAAAGUCCGGAGCUUAACUCGGUAAUGGCAAAUGUGACUGCUCGACUAGAGUGUGUCAGAGGGAGGUGGAAUUCGACGUGUAGCAGUGAAAUGCGUAGAUAUGUGGAAGAACACCGAUGGCGAAGGCAGCCUCCUGGGACAUAACUGACGCUCAGGCACGAAAGCGUGGGGAGCAAACAGGAUUAGAUACCCCAGUAGUC
rnacentral:rRNA from 1 species